UUGGCUUAGAAGCAGCCAUCAUUUAAAGAAAGCGUAAUAGCUCACUGGUCGAGUCGGCCUGCGCGGAAGAUGUAACGGGGCUAAACCAUGCACCGAAGCUGCGGCAGCGACGCUGAUGCGUUGUUGGGUAGGGGAGCGUUCUGUAAGCCUGUGAAGGUGUACUGUGAGGUAUGCUGGAGGUAUCAGAAGUGCGAAUGCUGACAUAAGUAACGAUAAAGCGGGUGAAAAGCCCGCUCGCCGGAAGACCAAGGGUUCCUGUCCAACGUUAAUCGGGGCAGGGU
rnacentral:rRNA from 1 species